CCUCAAGGUCUCUGGGCAGCUCCGGGGCCCUGGGGGCAGAGGGCUCUGUUUACCUAAUACCGGCUGGGGGGGGUUGGCAAACAGCCCUUGGCUCCAGGCCUGCCUGUCGGGCUGGGUGGCGUCCAGGGGCCCCAAAGCCUACAUACCUUCCUCCCCACCUCCCCGGGCGCUGACCUGCGGUGACCUCACACAAAGGAAAUCCCUCAAGCCAACUUCCAGGGCUGUGGGGGUGGGGUCGGGCACCUUGCAGGUCACACCCUCUCCUGGGCCUGAGGAGUGUGCUGAGACCUCAGGGCGAGCCAGCGGGGUUGAGGGCCAGAGAGGGAAAGCCAUGUGUCUGAAGACACACAGCAGCGCCACAGUUUCUUCCUGUGGCUGGGGGCCCCCACCACACCUGGUCCUCAGGGCUCCAGCCCUAACGGGGGACAGUGGGGAGACAGACCUGCUUUUCGAGGCAGCUGGGCUCCUGUCCAAAUUCCUAACAGCCUGAGAAACACCCUCCAGAAAAAAAGCAGCCCAAGUCAUCAUCUCGUGUGUUUAAAAAAUUCUGGCAUUUUCCCCUCAAAAUCUGUCCUAGUUAUGCUUGAGAUCUCCUGACCCCAGAAUACUUUUAUUUAUGACAGAAAAUUCAUCUCCAUGGCAACGCCUUAGGAAGCUGCAGCAUCGAGAUUAUAACUUCCCAAGCAAUGAAGAAAAUAAAUGGAUUUCUCACAAAACAAAAGAACAAAUGUUCACUUAAAGAAAACAUGCAAACUUCCUGUAAUAAUUUUGGCGAAAUGGGACUUGAGAGAAGACAGCCAAGGACCCCCAGGAACAUCUUCCUGGCUCUAAAGGGGCCGAAGCGGGAGUUUCCACUGUGGCUCAGCAGGUUAAGCCCCCGACAUGGUCUCUGUGAAGAUGCGGCUUUGAUCCCUGGCCUCUCUCAGUGGGAUAGGGCUCUGGCAUUGCCGUAAGGCGCAGCAUAGGUCACAGAUGCGUCUCAGACCCUGCGUUGCUGUGACUGUGGCGGAGGCCUCAGCUGCAGCUCUGAUUCGACCCCUAGCCUGGGAACUUCCAUACGCCGUAGAUGUGGCCAUAAAAAGGGGUGGAAGGUUGGUGGGUCAGGAUGUGAUGUCCAGAGCUGUGGCAAUCAUUUUGCAGCCACGAGAGCCAAUUCUGGGGACUGAGGCCAAGCGAGAAUGGCAGAGCAGAGAGGGGGAGGGCUCCCAAGGCCUGCGACGUCAUGUAAUCCCUG
rnacentral:lncRNA from 9 species